rnacentral:tRNA from 13 species
GCCGGUGUAGCUCAGCGGUAGAGCGUCCGCCUGUCGAGCGGAGGGCCGCGGGUUCAAGUCCCGUCACUGGCGCCC